rnacentral:tRNA from 1 species
GAAAUACUUUAAGGAAGCUUCUAACUUCCCGUCUAGCAUAAUAUGUUAGUAUUUCU